rnacentral:rRNA from 1 species
ACGGCUCAGUAACACGUGGCUAACCCACCCUUGAGACGGAGAAAACCCCGGGAAACUGGGGCUAAUCCCCGAUAGGAGAAGACACCUGGAAGGGGUCUUUUCCCAAAAGGCGCUUAGAUCAUGCUUCUAGACGCCGCUCAAGGACGGGGCCGCGGCCGAUCAGGUUGUUGGUGAGGCAAUGGCUCACCAAGCCUAUAACCGGUACGGGCCGUGAGAGCGGGAGCCCGGAGAUGGGCACUGAGACAAGGGCCCAGGCCCUACGGGGCGCAGCAGUUGCGAAAACUCCGCAAUGCACGAAAGUGUGACGGGGCUACCCCGAGUGCCGUCCGCUGAGGGCGGCUUUUCCCCGGUGUAAGGAGCCGGGGGAAUAAGGAGAGGGCAAGUCUGGUGUCAGCCGCCGCGGUAAUACCAGCUCUCCGAGUGGUAGGGAUGAUUAUUGGGCUUAAAGCGUCCGUAGCCGGCCUAGCAAGUCUUCCGUUAAAUCCAACGAUUCAAUCGUUGGACUGCGGGAGAUACUGUUGGGCUAGGGGGCGGGAGAGGCUGACGGUAUUCUCGGGGUAGGGGUAAAAUCCUAUAAUCCCGGGAGGACCACCAGUGGCGAAGGCGGUCGGCUAGAACGCGCUCGACGGUGAGGGACGAAAGCUGGGGGAGCGAACCGGAUUAGAUACCCGGGUAGUCCCAGCUGUAAACGAUGCGGGCUAGGUGUUGGAGCGGCUACGGGCCGCUUCAGUGCCGCAGGGAAACCAUUAAGCCCGCCGCCUGGGGAGUACGGCCGCAAGGCUGAAACUUAAAGGAAUUGGCGGGGGAG